GCCUUCGUAGCUCAGUGGAUAGAGCACCGGUUUCCGGUACCGAAGGUCGUAGGUUCGACUCCUAUCGGGGGCACAA
rnacentral:tRNA from 1 species